rnacentral:rRNA from 1 species
GNUUAAUGAUAAANNUAUAUUAGGUCAAACCUGCCCAAUGAAGUUAUUUUAAAUGGCCGCAGUAAAUUGACUGUGCAAAGGUAGCAUAAUAAUUUGUCUUUUAAUUGGAGACUGGAAUGAAUGGUUUAACGUGAUGAAAGCUAUCUUUAUUUUAAUUUUUGAAAUUUACUUUUAAGUUAAAAGGCUUAUAAAUGUUAAUUAAGGGACGAGAAGACCCCAUCAAGUUUGACAGUUAAAUAUAUAAUGAUCAAUAAGUAUUUAUUAUAAUUGUUUUUCUGGGGCGGAAAUAAUAGUUUAUCUUUUGUUAAUAAAAAUAAUUGAUGGAUUUAUUAAUAAAACUUUUAUUAAGAAAUUAAAAUAAAAUUACUGUGGGGGUAACAGCGUUAUUCUUUUGGAAAGUUCAAAUUAAUAAAAGAGAUUGCGACCUCGAUGUUGGAUUAAAUUUUCCCCAUAAUGAAGAAGUUAUGAAGGUAAGUCUGUUCGACUUGUUAAAAAUUACA